AAUGAACGCUGGCGGCGUGCUUAACACAUGCAAGUCGAGCGAGAAAAUCCCUUCGGGGAUGAGUACAGCGGCGGACGGGUGAGUAAUGCGUGAGAAUCUGCCCUCUAAUGAAGGAUACCCCCGAGAAAUCGGGUUCAAUACUGCAUACGUCCCUUCGGGGAGAAAGGUGGCUUAAUUGCUGCCGUUAGAGGAUGAGCUCGCGUGCUAUUAGCUAGUUGGUGGGGUAAAGGCCUACCAAGGCAAUGAUGGCUAGCCGGCCUGAGAGGGUGUACGGCCA
rnacentral:rRNA from 1 species